AAAAGGAUCUUGUAUCAGCAAGCAGUUGCAUGCAACAGCCCUGAGGGGGGAAAAUGCCAAACUUGCGUGCCACAGUCUUGUUCAAAUGUCUUUUCCCUAUGUCUGGGGAACCGGGGUCCAUUUCCAACUUCCCCCCCAAAAAAUAUUUCUUUGCACUUUCCACUGGUCCUGCUGUGUGCUUUUUUUUGGCCUUCUUUUUGGGGGUGUCGAGGGGUGGCGCUGGAGGGGGCUGUUUCUUUUUCCAGAGUCUACCAGGCGCUGGAGUUGAUAUCUGAUUUCACGCAAGGAAAAUUGGAGCCUUCAGCUGCUGCGGAUUCGGGCGAAGCCCAGUCGGCGCACUAAUUCCUCCCGGACUCCCGAAAGAACUCUGUCUGUCUCUUUCUCUCUGUCUGUCUCUCUUCAUCUUCUUGAGUCUGUGCUAUUUUUAGGUCUCAGGGUGCAGCGCCGCAGAGAGGGGAGGGGCCCCGGCGGCCCGUGGCGGCGGCCCACCUCGCGCUUGAUUGGAGUUGGGGGAAACGUGUUGGCUAAACUGCGGUGGGGAUCCGACUCCUGUGUUCUUUCAGGGGAAACUCGACUGGACACGUAUCACAACAUCUUAAUGGGCUUGUGCAGUCUCAAAGCUCUUGGCCGGAGGCCAAGCGGAGCUCGCUACCACCCAAAACGCUCAGAGGCUUCGCUGUUGCGGCUGUGGUCUUGCUCAGUGUGGAUCACCGCAACUCGGCGCUCCCAAGGCCGCCAAUCACACGUUUAGGUAUCUCGACCGGGGCCGAUCAAACUUCUUGUUUUGAGGCUGACCCUGAAGGAUGUGGUUUUUACCCUCGGUUGGCGAUUGUGGCUGUCUCGUCUGGGCCUAAAUGAGUCCCGUGCUCGCCGCACGCAGACGUUACACAACUGGAAGCCUCGUUGACAUCAACGCUUUGAAAGCAAAUAGCACGCAUAUUUAUCAUAAUUAAAGGUGUGUGGGCGGGAUGUGUGCAACAAGGCCGACUUUUAUCUUCUCAAACAUUCUGCUGCUCCGUUUUCAUCGCUAUCGCAGCGCUCGGGUCCCUCAGGCAGAUGCAGCAUUGGUCUCGGGGGACGAGCGGCAGUGUGAAAAACCCCCCUCCCGUCAACGGAAGUUGCUACAUGAGACUGCUUGAGCAGAGAGCGCAGCCUUCCUUUUCUGAUAAGACGAUAACGCUCGUUGCGUGUGUCUGCUAAAUGUGUGCGCGCCGGAGGCAGUGCCACGCACGAGGGCAGGCCUACAGGGAGGCAAG